ACAACUGCAGCUUUCAUACUAAUACCAGCAAAGAUAAGAAUGCAGUGAGCAGAAAUAAGAAAGAAUAGAAAGGAGGCCACCAGCUUUAGCAAGAAAAGAGAGAUCAAUUCUUUUUUUUCUGGAGCAAGAAAAUUAGAACCAUCAUUGUCAUGGAAAGCAAAGCGGGAGGAGAAAACGUUGCUUACCUGGUCUACUGGAGGCGAUGAAGACGAUGGUGAAGCUCUUUCUGUGUGAUCGGGUGACACUAGCCGGGCACCCGUUUCAACCUUCCCUUCGUUCCUCUAGCUUUAUUCUUUCUGUUUCUGAUGGUUCGGAGUGGUGAAGCUGGAGACGAAUGCCCAGGCUGAUCAAUACUUGCAGUUUCUCUGUUUUCCCUUGUUCACUUUGCUUGCGUUCUGGGGAGGAAGGCAAAGCUGGGAACGCUGGCUUUUUGCUCUCUCCUCCUUUCUCUUUUUUUAGUCUGUCCUCCUUUAUUUCUCUGUUUCCGUUCGUGCUCUCUGUUUUUCUUUGUGUUGUUCUCUGCUUUUUUUUGUUCGUCUUUCUCUGGUACUCUCUGUCUAUUCUUUCCCUCUUAGUGUUUCUCUGGUUCUCUCCCCCACUGGUUCGUGGCCUUCUCUGGCUUUUAUAAAGCCAUCUAAUGGCCUCUGUUCGUGCGUUCGUGCCUCAAGAUCAUGGGGGCACGUUCGCUCCUGUCUCUGAGAAGAGUCAGGACUGUUGGCCACGAUAUCGUGGCCUCCGGAGAGGGCGUCGUGGAGGAUAAUGGGCAGCUGUACAUUCCCUGCAAAACCAGUCCCCGGGAUGAGGUAGAAGGCGAUAAACAGUUUUAUGACACGACGCCGUUUUCUACUCUGCAGUGGCUAUUUACGAUUUGGUCACUGAAGUUAUUAAAUUUUGUAAUCAAGCCUCUGGAUAAAUAUUAAUUGGAACCCUGUAUUUUAGCGGAAUUUACAAAAUGAUCCUUGAACUUUAA